UACGUAGGGUGCGAGCGUUGUCCGGAAUUAUUGGGCGUAAAGAGCUUGUAGGCGGUCUGUCGCGUCUGCUGUGAAAAUCCGGGGCUCAACCCCGGACUUGCAGUGGAUACGGGCAGGCUAGAGUUCGGUAGGGGAGAUCGGAAUUCCUGGUGUAGCGGUGAAAUGCGCAGAUAUCAGGAGGAACACCGGUGGCGAAGGCGGAUCUCUGGGCCGAUACUGACGCUGAGGCGCGAAAGCUAGGGGAGCAAACGGG
rnacentral:rRNA from 1 species